GGAUCCGGAGGAUAUAGUAAUGAAGAAAAAGAAAGAAUAAAGACGGGAGCCGCAAUUGGUGCAACACUCGGUACAGUUGCCGGCGCGGCGGCGAUCGGGAGUAUGGCGGGCCCGCCGGGGGCAGUUCUCGGGGCUAUCUGGGGAUUAGGGAUGGGUCUUGGCACAGGCUUCGCCAGAGGCGCCAACUUUGGCAGUAAAAAAUAAGGAUUCACAAACUCUGCGUAGGGUACUUAGCCAACGUCACAAUCGCUUACACUCCGUAGCUAUCUAUGUCUAUCUGGGCCAUUUUCCUCCAUUUGACUCCUUUUUAAUACAUUUGUACUGGAAUAUAAUAUA